rnacentral:rRNA from 1 species
AUUGAACGCUGGCGGCAGGCCUAACACAUGCAAGUCGAGCGGAUGAAGGGAGCUUGCUCCUGGAUUCAGCGGCGGACGGGUGAGUAAUGCCUAGGAAUCUGCCUGGUAGUGGGGGAUAACGUCCGGAAACGGGCGCUAAUACCGCAUACGUCCUGAGGGAGAAAGUGGGGGAUCUUCGGACCUCACGCUAUCAGAUGAGCCUAGGUCGGAUUAGCUAGUUGGUGGGGUAAAGGCCUACCAAGGCGACGAUCCGUAACUGGUCUGAGAGGAUGAUCAGUCACACUGGAACUGAGACACGGUCCAGACUCCUACGGGAGGCAGCAGUGGGGAAUAUUGGACAAUGGGCGAAAGCCUGAUCCAGCCAUGCCGCGUGUGUGAAGAAGGUCUUCGGAUUGUAAAGCACUUUAAGUUGGGAGGAAGGGCAGUAAGUUAAUACCUUGCUGUUUUGACGUUACCAACAGAAUAAGCAGCGGCUAACUUCGUG